rnacentral:rRNA from 1 species
UACGUAGGGGGCAAGCGUUGUCCGGAUUUAUUGGGCGUAAAGAGCGUGUAGGCGGCCAUGCAGGUCCGUUGUGAAAACCCGAGGCUUAACCUCGGGACGUCGAUGGAAACCGCGUGGCUAGAGUCCGGAAGAGGAGAGUGGAAUUCCUGGUGUAGCGGUGAAAUGCGCAGAUAUCAGGAAGAACACCCGUGGCGAAGGCGGCUCUCUGGUACGGAACUGACGCUGAGACGCGAAAGCGUGGGGAGCGAACAGG